UACAGAGGCCUCAAGCGUUGUUCGGAUUCAUUAGGGCGUAAAGGGUGCGUAGGCGGCCAACUAAGAUCGGACGUGAAAUCCCUCGGCUUAACCGGGGAACUGCGUCCGAUACUGGAUGGCUUGAGUUCGGGAGAGGGAUGCGGAAUUCCAGGUGUAGCGGUGAAAUGCGUAGAUAUCUGGAGGAACACCGGUGGCGAAGGCGGCAUCCUGGGACCGGUAUUGACGCUGAGGCGCGAAAAGCUAGGGGAGCAAACGGG
rnacentral:rRNA from 1 species